GGCUCGAUGGUCUAGGGGGAUGAUUCGUCCUUCGGGCAGCGAUAUUCUGGGAAUGGACGAGGUCCCGGGUUCGAAUCCCGGUCGAGCCC